rnacentral:lncRNA from 1 species
CCAUUCUAUUAAAAAAAUAAAAAUACCUUAUCCUUCUUUUUUCUCCUCCUUUCUUUCUUUCUUCUCCCUCUCUUCUUCCUUCUCUUCUGCUAUUUUUUUUUAAGCUUAAUUCUCUUCUUCACCGAGACCAUUAAAUAGGAACCCAAAAUUGCUUCAAUGGUGCUGCCUAUCAUAUAGGAGUCACUAGUGCCGCUUAUUAAAUUAGAUAGGGGCCACUGGUGCCGCCUAUCAAAUAGGCACCACCCCUAUAUACUAAUUUUUAUAGAUAUAUACAGGUACAUACCAAACUCGAAACUUAUAUACGAAUGUGGUGCUACCUAUAAGAGAGACACCACUAAUA